rnacentral:rRNA from 1 species
GACGAACCGUGCGAACGUUAUUCGGAAUCACUGGGCUUAAAGCGCGUGUAGGCGGAUGGGAACGUCGGUCGUUGAAAUCCCCCGGCUUUAACCGGGGAAGUGGCGCCGAUACGCCCCGUCUUGAGGAACGUAGGGGGAGCGGGAACUUCCGGUGGAGCGGUGAAAUGCGUUGAGAUCGGAAGGAACGCCCGUGGCGAAAGCGCGCUCCUCGGACGUUUACUGACGCUGAGAC